UACGUAGGGUGCAAGCGUUAAUCGGAAUUACUGGGCGUAAAGCGUGCGCAGGCGGUUCUGUAAGUCUUUCGUGAAAUCCCCGGGCUUAACCUGGGAAUUGCGAUGGAGACUGCAAGGCUAGAAUCUGGCAGAGGGGGGUAGAAUUCCACGUGUAGCAGUGAAAUGCGUAGAGAUGUGGAGGAACACCGAUGGCGAAGGCAGCCCCCUGGGUCAAGAUUGACGCUCAUGCACGAAAGCGUGGGGAGCAAACAGG
rnacentral:rRNA from 1 species